rnacentral:tRNA from 1 species
UCCCUGGUGGCUUAGCUGGUAAAGAAUCUGCCUGCAAUGCUGGAGACCUGGGUUCGAUCCCUGGUUUGGGAG